UGAUAAGAGACAGCAGCCGCCGCGGGAAUACAGAGGGUGCGAGCGUUAAUCGGAUUUACUGGGCGUAAAGCGUGCGUAGGCGGCUUCUUAAGUCGGAUGUGAAAUCCCUGAGCUUAACUUAGGAAUUGCAUUCGAUACUGGGAAGCUAGAGUAUGGGAGAGGAUGGUAGAAUUCCAGGUGUAGCGGUGAAAUGCGUAGAGAUCUGGAGGAAUACCGAUGGCGAAGGCAGCCAUCUGGCCUAAUACUGACGCUGAGGUACGAAAGCAUGGGGAGCAAACAGGAUUAGAUACCCCCGUAGUCCCUGUCUCUUAUAC
rnacentral:rRNA from 1 species